CUCGUAGCAAUACGGGAGUGGCAGACGGGUGCGUAACGCGUGGGAACCUGCCCAGAGGUUCGGAAUAACUGCGGGAAACUGCAGCUAAUACCGAAUGUUGCCUGAGGGCUAAAGGAGUAAUUCGCCUUUGGAGGGGCCCGCGUCCGAUUAGCUAGUUGGUGGGGUAACGGCCUACCAAGGCGACGAUCGGUAGCUGGUCUGAGAGGAUGACCAGCCACACUGGAACUGAGACACGGUCCAGACUCCUACGGGAGGCAGCAGUGGGGAAUAUUGGACAAUGGGGGAAACCCUGAUCCAGCAAUGCCGCGUGGGUGAUGAAGGCCUUCGGGUUGUAAAGCCCUUUUGGCGGGGACGAUGAUGACGGUACCCGCAGAAUAAGCCCCGGCUAACUUUCGUGCCAGCAGCCGCGGUAAUACGAAGGGGGCUAGCGUUGUUUCGGAAUUUACUGGGCGUAAAGGGCGCGUAAGCGGCUUCCAUAGUCAGGCGUGAAAAGGCCUGGG
rnacentral:rRNA from 1 species